UAGCCUUUCGAAAGGAAGAUUAAUACCGCAUAAGAUUGUAGUAUCGCAUGAUAUAGCAAUUAAAGGAGCAAUCCGCUAUAAGAUGGACCCGCGUCGCAUUAGCUAGUUGGUGAGGUAAUGGCUCACCAAGGCGACGAUGCGUAGCCGACCUGAGAGGGUGAUCGGCCACAUUGGGACUGAGACACGGCCCAGACUCCUACGGGAGGCAGCAUG
rnacentral:rRNA from 1 species